AAAACUCAAAUGAAUUGACGGGGGCCCGCACAAGCGGUGGAGCAUGUGGUUUAAUUCGAUGCAACGCGAAGAACCUUACCUACUCUUGACAUCCAGAGAAGCCAGCGGAGACGCAGGUGUGCCUUCGGGAACUCUGAGACAGGUGCUGCAUGGCUGUCGUCAGCUCGUGUUGUGAAAUGUUGGGUUAAGUCCCGCAACGAGCGCAACCCUUAUCCUUGUUUGCCAGCGAGUAAUGUCGGGAACUCCAGGGAGACUGCCGGUGAUAAACCGGAGGAAGGUGGGGACGACGUCAAGUCAUCAUGGCCCUUACGAGUAGGGCUACACACGUGCUACAAUGGCGCAUACAGAGGGCAGCAAGCUAGCGAUAGUGAGCGAAUCCCAAAAAGUGCGUCGUAGUCCGGAUUGGAGUCUGCAACUCGACUCCAUGAAGUCGGAAUCGCUAGUAAUCGUGAAUCAGAAUGUCACGGUGAAUACGUUCCCGGGCCUUGUACACACCGCCCGUCANCAGCCAUGGGAGUGGGCUGCAAAAGAAAGUGGGU
rnacentral:rRNA from 1 species